UGGGGAAUCUUGCGCAAUGGACGAAAGUCUGACGCAGCGACGCCGUGUGAGUGAAGAAGGCCUGCGGGUUGUAAAGCUCUGUCAAGAGGGACGAAAAUGCGGUGGGUUAAUAGCCCAUCGUACUGACGGUACCUCUGGAGGAAGCACCGGCUAACUUCGUGCCAGCAGCCGCGGUAAUACGAAGGGUGCAAGCGUUGCUCGGAAUUAUUGGGCGUAAAGGGGAGGUAGGUGGUCUCGUUUGUCAGAGGUGAAAUCCCUAGGCUCAACCUAGGACGUGCCUCCGAAACGGCGAGACUAGAGUACUGGAGAGGCUAGCGGAAUUCCCGGUGUAGCGGUGAAAUGCGUAGAGAUCGGGAGGAACACCAGAGGCGAAGGCGGCUAGCUGGACAGUUACUGACACUA
rnacentral:rRNA from 1 species